UCCUGCAGCCACCCGCUCUUUCAUCCGCUCAACACCCCCAACCACCGAUAAUGAAGAUUUAUGCCGGAAACCCAAGAACGACGACAAUGAGAGAAGAGUUUUUCUUCCCUCCUCUCUCUUAAUCUCGCUUCGUUUUUGGUCUCUUUGGAUUUUCAUUUUGUUUCCUUUUUUGGGCUUAUAAAUUCUCUACACAUGAGGUUUUUAUUGGAAUUCGUCUCGUG
rnacentral:misc_RNA from 1 species